GAGAGAGAGCACGAGGAAAUUCCGGUCCUGUAACCAUAUUGAACAUGGAUUCCUUGGCACCUCGAUUAAAAACCUCGGCUGUGGUGCCCUUGGAGGGCAAGAGCAAGCUAGAUGCGUUACUGUGUGCACCCACAGCCCGUGAAAACUGGUUCCUCUCCAGUAAUGACUUCCCAUUUGUGCUGCCAGUUCUUUCAGGCUUUGGAGUAAACUCUCUUGUUAUACUGAACUUAGAGUCUUGAGUGCUCUCCCAGGUAGCGUUUGCAGCAGCUCUGGAGUGAAUGAGUUGUGCUUCGUUGAGCACAAGAUUCAUAGGUUGCCUGCUAUCAUAAAACAACGACGAAAGCCUCGCUGAAUUGAACUGGAUAGUUUCCUGGUGAGGUUUGCGGCGCCGUGCAUUGUGAUCAGAGAGCCUCCUACGACAGCUUCGCUUCUUGUCAUCAAAUUCAGACACGCUAUGGAACCUGCUACACUGUUGACAAAAGCGGCGUGCUACACCUGCUACAAUAACCUUUGGGCUUUUGGAAUGACUGUCACAAACUCUAUGCUUACGAUAAUAUUCUUUAGCUGAAGAAAGAUCAAGGUUGCAACCUUCAACCUGACAGUGAGGAAUUGGUGCAUUCUGAGUAGAUGAUUUUGCUUUCUUUGUUGCAGCAGCAGAUGAUGUGGGGUUCGGGGGGAAGGAUGAAACCUUAGCACUGCUUCCACCACCAAAGGUUUCACAUGUCCGCUUACCAAUUUUUAGACCUAUCACUGGUUCAACAGAGCCUACUGAAGCCUCCAUGGGUGGUGAAUUUCUAGAGACCUCGGCUUUGGAGGAUUCCAAUUUCUUACUAGGAUCCUCAGGAGAGGCAUUAAAUGUCUCAAAAGCAAAGUUGGAUACUUUAAAGCCAUCCUUUGGUGAAGAGUCAGUAGAAGCUGAUAUUGAGCUUUUGAUGGAAGAACCACACUUCAGAUCAGAACCAUAGCCACCCGUGCCACUACCACCACUUGACAAAUUAAAAGAUCCCCCAUCAAGUUCUCCCUCUUCUUCAACUCCCCAAUCUGUUAAUUGUAGUUCUUUUGGACUUUCAGAGGCCUUUGAACCAAACAUUACCAGAUUUCCCCAGUCCCACUUCACAUUCCACUCCAUCUUGGGAAAGAAACUACGAGAUGGCUUUACCAAAUUCCCAGACUCAUGGAAUGCAAAAGAGUAAUUAAGACUUGAAUCUCUUUGACAGAGCUGUAUGAUUCCAGUAACUAGUACGAAGCUGAUUAAGACUAUAAGGAGACAAGGAUAACUAUUCAAAUACAGAAACAGAGCUCAAUCCCUUCCAGUCCAAGACAACAAAUGUUUCUCCCAUCUGUUAACUCCACAACAUCAUUUUCAGCUACUUGUUUCAUCACCAUUAAUCAAUUUCUCCAAGAAUCGAUAAGAAGAAGCAAAACUCAG
rnacentral:misc_RNA from 1 species